rnacentral:rRNA from 1 species
GACGAACGCUGGCGGCGUGCUUAACACAUGCAAGUCGAACGAAGUGGCGAACGGGUGAGUAACGCGUAAUAAACCUGCCCUUCAGAGGGGGACAAAAGUUGGAAACGACUGCUAAUACCGCAUACUGAAGGAGGGGAUUGCGUCUGAUUAGCUAGAUGGAGGGAUAACGGCUCACAAAGGCGACGAUCUGUAGCUGGGCUGAGAGGACGACCAGCCACACUGGGACUGAGACACGGCCCAGACUCCUACGGGAGGCAGCAGUGGGGAAUUUUGGACAAUGGGCGCAAGCCUGAUCCAGCCAUGCCGCGCGCAGGAUGAAGGCCUUCGGGUUGUAAACUGCUUUUGUACGGAACGCGGUACCGUAAGAAUAAGCACCGGCUAACUACGUGCCAGCAGCCGCGGUAAUAC